GAUGAACGCUGGCGGGGGGGAGAAUACAUGCAAGUCGAGCGAACAGACGAGGAGCUUGCUCCUCUGACGUUAGCGGCGGACGGGUGAGUAACACGUGGAUAACCUACCUAUAAGACUGGGAUAACUUCGGGAAACCGGAGCUAAUACCGGAUAAUAUAUUGAACCGCAUGGUUCAAUAGUGAAAGACGGUUUUGCUGUCACUUAUAGAUGGAUCCGCGCCGCAUUAGCUAGUUGGUAAGGUAACGGCUUACCAAGGCAACGAUGCGUAGCCGACCUGAGAGGGUGAUCGGCCACACUGGAACUGAGACACGGUCCAGACUCCUACGGGAGGCAGCAGUAGGGAAUCUUCCGCAAUGGGCGAAAGCCUGACGGAGCAACGCCGCGUGAGUGAUGAAGGUCUUCGGAUCGUAAAACUCUGUUAUUAGGGAAGAACAAAUGUGUAAGUAACUAUGCACGUCUUGACGGUACCUAAUCAGAAAGCCACGGCUAACUACGUG
rnacentral:rRNA from 1 species